rnacentral:lncRNA from 1 species
GUAGGGAGAUGAUGAGUAUAGGUAGAUUUCCUUUUUCUUUCUUUUUUUUUAUGUUAUGCCAGAGGUUGUUGUUGGAAUGGGUGAAGAGAAAAGAAUCUCCCUCAAGUGUCCCACCCAGGAAAAAAGGUUAUUAGUGGAUUAUGGAUUCUUCAGUGAUAGUUUUUUUUGUUUCUUUCCUUCCUGUUUUUGUACCGGUGAGAGAGAGUUCUUGGAGGUGGGGGACCCGUGUUCUUUUUGAUUGGA